UACGGGGGGGGCAAGCGUUGUUCGGAAUUACUGGGCGUAAAGGGCGUGUAGGCGGCCAACUAAGUCCGACGUGAAAUCCCCAGGCUUAACCUGGGAACUGCGUCGGAUACUGGAUGGCUUGAAUUCGGGAGAGGGAUGUGGAAUUCCAGGUGUAGCGGUGAAAUGCGUAGAUAUCUGGAGGAACACCGGUGGCGAAGGCGGCAUCCUGGACCGGUAUUGACGCUGAGGAGCGAAAGCCAGGGGAGCAAACGGG
rnacentral:rRNA from 1 species